AGCUAUGUUGUGACAUCACAAUGUUCCAAUGUGAUAUCACAACUCCAUACUGUGCCUACACAAUGCUGUACUGUUUUAUUAUGAUGCUGAUUAUGCCAGCAUAGUG
ensembl:miRNA Mir6355 microRNA 6355